AGUGAACGCUGGCGGUAGGCCUAACACAUGCAAGUCGAACGGCAGCACAGUAAGAGCUUGCUCUUACGGGUGGCGAGUGGCGGACGGGUGAGGAAUACAUCGGAAUCUACUUUUUCGUGGGGGAUAACGUAGGGAAACUUACGCUAAUACCGCAUAUGACCUACGGGUGAAAGCAGGGGAUCUUCGGACCUUGCGCGAUUGAAUGAGCCGAUGUCGGAUUAGCUAGUUGGCGGGGUAAAGGCCCACCAAGGCAACGAUCCGUAGCUGGUCUGAGAGGAUGAUCCGCCACACUGGAACUGAGACACGGUCCAGACUCCUACGGGAGGCAGCAGUAGGGAAUAUUGGGCAAUGGGCGCAAGCCUGAUCCAGCCAUGCCGCGUGAGUGAAGAAGGCCUUCGGAUUGUAAAGCCCUUUUGUUGGGAAAGAAAAGCAGCAGGUUAAUACCCCGCUGUUCUGACGGUACCCAAAGAAUAAGCACCGGCUAACUUCGUG
rnacentral:rRNA from 1 species